rnacentral:lncRNA from 1 species
CUUAUUCUGCUGCCACAAUGCAAGCAUAGUUUGUUAUUUUUGUUACUGCCUUUUUUGAGAGAUUAUGUAUCUAUAUAGCUACCUGUCUAGAUCUGCAUCUGUGUGCCUAUGUAUAUAUUAUACACACACAGAGGCACUCACCACUGACACGCCUUUCCUUGCGGAUUGGGGUGGGGGUGAAAAUGUUUUCUCCAGUUCAACAGGAGUGCUCGAUCCAAGUCAGUCAUAUUUAUAAUAUGCCUGCUCUUUGUUUGAAAUUAAAUUUGGGCACAGGAAGCACACAGAGACAUUUAGGUUGUUUCAAAAGUCAAUUUCUGAGUACCAUUUCAAUCCGGAGGCUUUUGGCUGAGUCCAGGUAUAAAUUAGCCAUAAACAGUCAAUGACCCACAGUAGAAUUCUGGUAAACUGUUGAGAAAUCUGGGUAAAAGGCUGCCUUCAAUUCUAAGCUUUAUUUUUUUUUUUUUGUGGUUUUUGUUGUUAUUGUUUGUUUCUGUUAUCGUUGUUGUUUACUCUUUAAUCAUAACUACUUUGACAAUAGAGCCCGGGUCCUUGGUUCACAUGGAAUAAUAUAGAUGUGCUUCUAGACGGCGCAUUAGUCCAUUUGUUCACACCUGUCAGCGGGGUUUUACUACAUGGACUUAAAAGGCAACAAUAAAUCCAGGGUUUGUAUGUGCCGUAGAUCCCCGCAAGAACAGUGCAUUUGUAUUAGAGAUGUAAGUUUUAAGUAUGGCAUUGUUGCCUUCUCUCAAGUUCUCUGGGACUUUUUAAUUUUUAUUACUACUAUUGUUGAUAUAUGAUUAUGGUCAGAAGGCCUCUUCUCCCCUUCCUUACUCUCUCCCACUCUUCCUGGCUUUCCCCCACAGAGAAUGCUAGACCAAUAUGGCUUUUUGCCUUGACCCUGUUGUGGCAGUGUUUGUUCUUGCUCCAAGUGUGUUAUUCAUGCAGGUUUAUCCCCUCCGUGGCCUCCGGGCUCUGCAUGUCUAUGAUGUGUCACUGGACGGUCAUCCUUGCUGGUUAUGGGUGGAUCGCAGCUCUUCACCAUCAAGUGCAUUCAUGAUUUGCUCCUGUGAGGUGGUUUGAAGCUGAAAUAGAACUGACAUGCAGUUGGUUGACUAGCCAAACCUCUGCUCGCUCUCACUUUGUCUUGUAGGAAGCCUGGUAGCUUGUCAGCUGGAGAAAGACGGUUUGUAGAAUCAGUCUCGUGGUGGUUGGAAAUCUAUCUGUGGCUGCACAGUAUUGAUGCUGUCAAGCAAACAGCAGAGGCGUGGCCAAGUGUAGGCAUGCUUAACUAGUUGGGGUUCUUCCUGAUGACCAAGUGUAGGUAUGCUUAACUAGUCGGGGUUCUUCUUGAUGACCAAGUGUAGGUAUGCUUAACUAGUUGGGGUUCUUCCUGAUGCAAGAAGUCAGUCACGGUUCAAGGCGCAUGGCUAUUGGAUAUCCAUUUAGUCUUCACAGAGGCUGACCGCCCUGUGCUGCAGGCAGGGUGGUCACAACUGCUCACCAUGUGAACACAGUACCUCAGUUCCGUCCCUGGCUGCAGUCACCGUGUGCUCAGUGUUUUCUCCUAGGCACCAGGGACAAGCUUCUCAAAGCCGUGUGAUCUACCCUAGUCUUGGGUGCCUCUAGUAUACGUGACCAGGUGUUGUCCUGCAUGUAAAUCUCCGAGCAGAGUCUGUCUCUUCCAGCCCAUACUGGUAAUCUGUGGCACAAGUGGAUGAGAGUGUCCUGCAUGCACCAAUGGUGCAGAACAUGCACGGUGACUGGAAAGUCAAACUCCUUUCGAAAUGUCCCGAGGACUGGAUCAGUUCCAACAUGUCUGCCAUUAUCUGAUGCCUUGCAUUGUGGUUUUCUGCAAGCAACCUAGGUUGGCUUUGGUUACCCGUGACCUCCCGGUCUGGGGUUGCAACAGAAGACGGGGAUGACUUUGCUCACUAUUCCAAAUACUGCCUUUAUGUAAGGCAGAGGGAAGGGGAAGGUUUUUAUUUGUUUGUUUGUAUUUUAAUUGUUUCACCCCUCCUCCCACUCUUUUCUUUUGGUGGCUUCCACCACCCUGAAUGGUGACGGACUCCUGAGCCUGCCGCCUUGGGCUCCCCUUAGGCUCACAGUUCAGAUCUGCAUGCCUUGCUUGCAUUGUCCUGGUAUCUGAAUGUUGACUCCUCAUUUAGGAGUUGAACAUGAAUUUCCAAAAUUUUCAUGGGGCUUGUGGCAACACAAGCAGUGAAUCUGUGUAUAAAAUUUACUGGCCUUCCUCACUUACCUGCUCUAGUAUCGUAUCGUGUGUGCGUGCGUGUGUGACGUCAGGCUGCCACGUAAACUUCAGAGAAGAACCUUAAAGCAGACCAUCCAUUUUUGCAUGCUCUCUUCUAAGUAGAAUGUUCAAUGUAACUAACUAAACCUGCAUGUUAAAGAGACCUAGGUUCUUUCUUUCUUGCUUUCUUUCUUUCAAUUUGCUUUUGGUUUCCUGUAUAUUUGCUUACUGUGCUGUUCUAGUGGUUGUAGGGUAAAGACGCACUGGUGAAGCAGUCGUAGCGCCGACAGAAGGUGAUUCCAGUUGUAUAUGUCACGCAGCAUUCGAAGGGACUGUGCACGCUCUAAAAAUCACAGUUGCUUCUAAGCCAGAUUUCAUUUCUAUUCUUGUUUUAUGUGCCAAACCCCAAAGUGCAUUGGGCCUGAAUCUCUGAACUCUGUAGACCCAUUAGAAAGAAGACUGUUCUGAGCAACACAAACUGUAGUGCCUGAAAACACUUAACACUGAUUGUCUGAGAGAUGGAGGUCCUCCAAAGAUGACACAGGGAAAAUACUCAAAAUAAUCAUGGCCGAAAUGUCUGUGUUCCUUGGGAAUGCUGCGCUCUCUGUAUUCUCCACCAUUGGUGCAGUUCGAACGAACGAACGAACGAGUAGAGUUCAGAGGUCUUCGUGUUCACAUUUAAAACUAGAAAAACGACCUCAUUUUUUGAGCUUGAAUUCAUUUUUGAUUUUAAUUUUAUUUUAUACAACGUGUAGACAGUUCCCUGUUCUCUGCAUUUAGAAGUAUACACAGUACAACUCUGUUAAUUCUGUAAGUAAUUUUUAUAAUUAUGAUGUAACUCUAUCCUUCCUUAAAACAUUCAAAAUAAACCCUUUAUGUGCAACUUC